UAGUGGACUGAACCUCUGAAACUGUAAGUCAGCCCCAAUUAAAUGUUUCCUAUUAUAAGAGUUGCCUUGGACAUGUUGUCCCUUUACGGCAAUAACAUCCAGAUUAAAACAGGGUGUCUGGGAAAUGUGGACUUGCUGGUGGAAGUACAUCACUGGGAUAAAUAAGCUUUGAGGCUGCAAAGCCACGCAUGCCGAAGCUCGAAAGGAAGAACAGCCCAAAGCUGACCUCUGACCUCCACAAGCAUGUGCACACACAUACACACAUGUGCACAUGCAUGCAUGUGAACAUACAUGGGCAAAACCAAAUACAGACAAAAGCAGCAGCCCAUUUCUCCUCAACGUUUGCUUCCUCUCUGCCUGUUCUCCUUCCCUUCCUGCCUUGGCAAAUGUCUCCAGGUGACUCCAAGCACUUCUCCCCUGGCUCUGACCGACUUGUGGCUGGUGACAAGUCAAGACCCAGGACCCACCUUAGAAAUCCAGUUGGGAAGCCCUAUGCCAGUGGCCCGUGACAGAUGCCGGCAGUGAACAGCCAAGGGCGGUGGCCCUAGGAAUCCCCCAGGUGACGGGAGAUGCCAGUCUGGAUUUGCCAGAAGUGGAGUAGAGAAUAAUUCAUCUGCUAGAGUCUCUCAGGCAGUAGUCCUGAUUGCACAACAUAGAAAUUACACAGAAGACAGAAAUGGAGAAGAACUCCGUGGCUGAGUUUGUAUUAUUUAGGGAGCUGGAGAGCAUACCCAUUCCCAGUGAGAUACACAUAUUUCUAAAGCUAAAAACAGCUUCCUGGUUGAGCCAGGAAAAGACAUCUCGCUCACAUUGUCAUCCUGGGCUGGAAGAGAAAGUGUGUCCUGCCUCAUACCUCAUUUAUAAAGUGACCCAGGGAAGGGGUACUAUAUAGGUCUCAUCCCAGUGGGUGUGAGACUCGGAUAUGCAAAGAUGUACGGCCACAUUGGUGCCCGUGGCUACUUUCUCACCGCAGGCUUUGAAUGCUGGCUAGGGCAGUUCUUGGCACACAUAGGAAGUAAGACAAGAUCAAGUCCAAAUGACGGUGGCUGCAGAUGAAUCAUCUCCUCUGUGCUUCACAUUUCAUAUAUCUAUCCCAGAAAGCAACUGUUAGAAUAAAACUGUGUAUGUCCAAA